CGCAUCGAUGAAGAACGUAACAAAGUGGGAUAACUAGUGUGAAUUGCUAUUCAGUGAAUCAUCGAGCCUUUGAACGCAACUUGCACUCAUUGCUAUUCCAAUGAGCCCGCCUGUUUCAGUAUCA
rnacentral:rRNA from 1 species